rnacentral:rRNA from 1 species
CAGCCGCCGCGGGAAUACGUAGGUCCCGAGCGUUGUCCGGAUUUAUUGGGCGUAAAGCGAGCGCAGGCGGUUAGAUAAGUCUGAAGUUAAAGGCUGUGGCUUAACCAUAGUACGCUUUGGAAACUGUUUAACUUGAGUGCAAGAGGGGAGAGUGGAAUUCCAUGUGUAGCGGUGAAAUGCGCAGAUAUAUGGAGGAACACCGGUGGCGAAAGCGGCUCUCUGGCUUGUAACUGACGCUGAGGCUCGAAAGCGUGGGGAGCAAACAGGAUUAGAUACCCCUGUAGUCCCUGUCUCUUAUACA